rnacentral:lncRNA from 1 species
GAGAAGGGGAAGAGGAAGAGGGAGAGGAAGAAAAAAGGGGAAGUGGAAGAGAGAAGAGGAAGAGGAAGAGGGUUUGCCGCGGUAGCCGCCGCCGCCGCCGCCGCCGCCGCCGUCGCCCUCGCCCUCGCCGACGACGAAGAAGAGGGAAGAAGAAUAGGAGGAAGAAGAAGAAGGAUAGAACCGUAAAUUCACGUUAUAAUUAACCAUGAUUAAGUAUUUUAACCGUGGUUAACGAAAAUUUUCUAACAAUCCUUAACGGCAGGGACAUAUCUGCAUAACUUUAGACUUUUGCAGGGACAACUUAUAGAGUUUCCGUUUUGCAGAGAUAUUUCUGCAAUUCACUAUAUUUGUAGGAAUGUGUAUGCAAAUAACCCUAAUUACAAAUAUAUUUGGUUAUUCUGAAUCACAUAAAUUUUAUUUUAAAAAUCAAUAAGCAAGAACCAAACUCAACAACGAUAUAAAUUCUAAUAUAAUGACCUACGAAAAAGAGGUAAGAGAAAAACAAGGGAAAAAAAUUUAAUAAGUAAAAAAAAAAAAAAAAAGAGGAAAUGUAAGGCUCAGUCAAGUUGGUUCGACAACAUUGUUUAUAAGCACAGGAUAGCAGCACCGAUAGAGUAUCGCGGGAGGAAAUGUGGGCAACCAUGAAGGAUAAGAAACGCGCAACCACCAAAGCUAAGAACAGUCGGAAGUGGUUGCCUAUAACCUGGCCGUCCAAACUUCAACCUGUUCGAAAAAAAAAAAUUCUCACAUUUUCCUCAAGUUAUCAUCGGCGCCUCAAAAAGGAUCAGCAAAUAGAAAGAAACACCAAGAAAUUAAGGAACUUGUUCAGAAAAAGCAAUCCCCACAUUUGCCUCAACUUAUCAUCACCGCCUCAAAAAAGAGCCAGCAAUUAGAAAGAAACACCAAGGAAUGAAGGAAACCAAAUAUUAUUAGUAAAAUAAUGAUGUAUCGAAGAAGUGGAGGCCAUACAAAGUUACUCCAUUUAAUGGCAAACAAAAAUAGAAAUAGAAAACUCUAGUACAGCCAAGCACUGAAUAGAAAUAAAAUGCUCCACGGUCAUAUUUGGCCACCAAUUAAAUAUCAAGCGAUCCAAUCCCACAAUCCACACCUCAUGAAAAAAAGAAUGUACAAAGAGAGCUGCUGGCAAAUUCUGAAUCGCCGGGAAGGCACCACAUGUGCACACUUAAAAUUAUAUAGUAGAAUAGGAAAAUUUAAAAUCCUCAUGUGCUUUUGAUCAUCAUAGCCCUAAAGAAGAACAGAAAAAUUGAGAAAAACAGCAAAACAAAUGAAACCAAGUAAUAUUAGUAAAAUUCAAGUCCUUUCUCUAAUACAUUACUAAUCCUAGAACAGCAUGUAAGGCUAGGAGGAAAUUUGGAUUUUAAAAUGAGUUUUAGUUCAUCUCAUAGAGACAGCAAAAUAAGAAAAUGCAGAAAUCUGAAAAUGAAAAUUGAACAAAAGUGUAUAUAAGCCUGCAAAUUUUUUAGGUACUUAUAUCAAGAAAAUGUGCAUUUAAAAAGGAAAACAAAUCUAUAAAUAAUAUACAUGUUCAGAAGAUUCGACUACACAAAAAAAAACCAAUCCAGCUGAAAACAGGUUUUUUAACCUCCAUAGGUACAUGCUGAACCAAAGCAAGUAAUGAUUAGAGCUCCCAAAUCCCCAACUAGGCUAAACUAAUCAAAACCCCAGGAAAAAGAUUAAGAGAGGUAAACAAAUGAG